GAUGAAGAACGCAGCGAAAUGCGAUAAGUAAUGUGAAUUGUAGAAUUCAGUGAAUCAUCGAAUCUUUGAACGCACAUUGCGCCCGCCAGUAUUCUGGCGGGCAUGCCUGUUCGAGCGUCAUUUCAACCAUCAAGCCCCCGGCUUGUGUUGGGGACCUGCGGCUGCCGCAGGCCCUGAAAACCAGUGGCGGGCUCGCUAGUCACUCCGAGCGUAGUAAUACAUCUCGCUCAGGGCGUGCUGCGGGUUCCGGCCGUUAAAAAGCCUUAUUUACCCAAGGUUGACCUCGGAUCAGGUAGGAAGACCCGCUGAACUUAAGCAUAUCAAUAAGCGGAGGA
rnacentral:misc_RNA from 1 species